rnacentral:lncRNA from 1 species
AAGAUGCUGGAGACUUUGUUGCAAGAAAGGAUGGCUUUAGGUCAUGUUGCUGAGGCCUGAUCUUAAAGAUCUAAUUGCUAUUGGAAGAGAAUCCUGUUUCCCAACUGGGCCUCCCCUCUGGAGAUGGAGCAAGGAAGACUGUCCAACUCUGCUCUGGGCACCCUGCUGAUGGAUGAGGUGUCAGGCCAGUCGUCAUGUGAGGACUGGUUUCCAAAUGCCAAGACCAUCCUCAAGGAGUUUAAUGAAUGUGGCAUCACAAGAAAAAUAUGCAUCAACAUUGAAAAGCAAAGCCUUCCAGCCAGUUCAAUGGUGGGAGUCUCCCCCUGCUCUUCCUGCACAAUCAUUUCCCAUUGAGGAAGAAUGUGAAAAUGACGCACAGGUGAGGGAGGCAUACUAUAAGACCGCUUCUUACCUUUCGUUUCCUGGAGCCAAUAUGAAUGAAGACCCAGAGA